UACGAAGGGGGCUAGCGUUGCUCGGAAUCACUGGGCGUAAAGCGCACGUAGGCGGACUUUUAAGUCAGGGGUGAAAUCCUGGGGCUCAACUCCAGAACUGCCUUUGAUACUGGAAGUCUUGAGUCCGGAAGAGGUAAGUGGAACUGCGAGUGUAGAGGUGAAAUUCGUAGAUAUUCGCAAGAACACCAGUGGCGAAGGCGGCUUACUGGUCCGGUUCUGACGCUGAGGCGCGAAAGCGUGGGGAGCAAACAGG
rnacentral:rRNA from 1 species